AAUCCGGGUGUCGCCU
rnacentral:tRNA from 6 species